UCGGAGAGUUUGAUCCUGGCUCAGGACGAACGCUGGCGGCGUGCCUAAUACAUGCAAGUCGAGCGAAUCGACGGGAGCUUGCUCCCUGAGAUUAGCGGCGGACGGGUGAGUAACACGUGGGCAACCUGCCUAUAAGACUGGGAUAACUUCGGGAAACCGGAGCUAAUACCGGAUACGUUCUUUUCUCGCAUGAGAGAAGAUGGAAAGACGGUUUACGCUGUCACUUAUAGAUGGGCCCGCGGCGCAUUAGCUAGUUGGU
rnacentral:rRNA from 1 species